AAUCGGAUCGUUUCUAGCCUUCCAUAUAAUCCACCAGCACGCAGCCAAUUCAGGGAGCCUAUGCCUCGUACUCUGUAAUCCUUUCUUAACCGUCCACCUAUUCCAGAUAUGAAGUACAUCGUCUCCCAGUUCUGUCGCUUGAAUACUCUCUACACCCAUCACCAUGAUAAACUUAGUAAGGACACAUUGAACGAGCAGAUGGUUCACAGUCUCGUCGUAUGACCUGCACAGCACGCAUGCUGUAUCACCAGUCCAACCUCUCUUCGCAAGGUUGUCAGAUGUUAAUAGCUUCUUCUUGAGGACUAACCAACAGAACACUUUAAUCUUAAGGGGUAUACAUAGGUUCCAAAUUCUGGAGCAUAACUAUUUC
rnacentral:lncRNA from 1 species